rnacentral:lncRNA from 1 species
ACUGCCCUAUCCGCAACUCUAACCGAAAGGCUGCCGGUGUCUGCUGCCUGAAAUCAAAAUAGUGGGUCAUCUCCCUUCUCUUGCCGGCCCAGCUAACCUCUGCACCAAUAUUUGGAGAAGACACCCUUUGAGGUGACCCAGGUUGUCUUGUUGGACACAAGCAGGCCCCAAACUGCCAUGAAAGCCCUCCAACCCCACUCUCCGCAGUUUGGCAACCUGGCCUCAGUCCUCUUAGAUUCGGCAGCAGUCACCAGAUUACCCAGGUACCCAGGUAUUUGAGAUGCGGAUGCUAAAGCCGAACUCUGUCCAAAUUCCCUACCUUUGGAUCCCUUGACAUUGUUCUUUGCAAGUUCUUUUUAAAAUAACUCUUUUCCCGUAUCAGGGAUGCCUCUGCCCCCUGCACCUUGUGGCUUGCCCUUCAGAUAUUGGUAUUCAACGGUAUUCUGUCCGCAGCCCUCUUCUGUUUAUUCUUUUUUCUUUUCUUUCUUUCUUUUUUUUUAUUUUCUUUUUUUUUUGAGACGGAGUCUCGCUCUGUCGCCCAGGCUGGAGUGCAGUGGCGCGAUCCGGGCUCACUGCAAGCUCCGC